GCAAUUUGGUAGGCCGAGAUGGGAGGAUUGCUUGAGCUCAGCAAGGAGUGCAAGACCAGCCCCGGCAACAUAGUGAGACACUCUAUCUCUGCAAAAAAAAAAAGGAGAAAACAAAACAAACAAAAAAACUGAUGGUGUUUGAUAGUACAUUUUAAUUUCUCUAACUUCUGACUAAAUCUAUUUAGGAUAAAAAAAUUACUCGCCACAGAAAAAUAAUAAAUCAAUAUUGUAGGAGUGAUACCUUUAGAGUCUGAACUUCUGAAUGAAGGUCAUAUAAAAUUCUCAUUGGAUAAUCUUCAAAGUCUUCAAUAUGAAUAUUGAAAGAAAAGAAGUCCAAUAAAUGUAAGGAAAAGGAGGAAGAAAAAGAAUAGUAUACAAUCAUAUACCUUAUAAUGACAUUGGUCAAUCACAGAUCACAUAUGACAGUGGUACCAUAAGAUAAUACCAUAUUUUUUACCGUACCUUUUUUAUGUUUAGAUACACAAAUACUUACCAUAAUGUUACAGUUGCUUACAGUAUUCAAUGCAGUCGCAUGCUAUACAGGUUUGUGGCCUAGGAGCGACAGGCUACACCAUACAGCCUAGGUAUGCAGUAGGUCAUAUCAUCUACGUUUGUGUUACAUAUGCUCUAUGAUGUUCGCACAAUAACAAAAUUGCCUAACGUUGCUCAGAAUGUAUCCCCAUUAAGUAACAUGACUGUAUAACAUACAUACUGAAAAGCAUACAAAUCCUAAGUAUAUAGUUUAAUGAACUUUAUAAAAUGAGCAUACCUGCACAACUGGCCCUCAGCUCAAGAAAAAGGAGAAACAGAGCCUUAGUAGAACUCUAGAAGCCCUCUUAUAGUCUCUCCCUUCCCCACAAGGGUAAACUUUAGCCUGAUUUCUUUUUCUUUUUUUGAGAUGGAGUUUCGCUCUUGUUGCCCAGGCUGGAGUGCAAUGGUGCGAUCUUGGCUCACUGCAACCUUCACCUCCCGGAUUCAAGCGAUUCUCCUGUCUCAGUCUCCCAAGUAGCUGGGACUACAGGUGUGCGCCACUACAUCUGGCUAGUUUUAUAUUUUUAAUAGAGAUGGGGGUUUCACCAUGUUGGUGAGGCUGGUCUUGAACUCCUGACCUCAAGUGAUCCACCCGCCUCGGCCUCUCAAAGUGUUGGGAUUAUAGGCGUGAGCCACUGCACCCAGCCACCUUACCCUGAUUUCUAACGCCAUGAAGUAGUUUUGUCACUUAUGAACUUGAUUUAAUGGACUCAAACAAUAUGUACUCUUUUGCGACUGGCUUCUUUCACUCAACUGUUACAUUCUUCCACGUUCGUAAUCUAAUCCAUGUUCAUUAUUGUGUAGCAUUUCCACUGCGUGAUACCAUAUUUAUUUAUUCUAUUGUUGAAACACUUUGGAUUGUGCCUAGUUUGGAAUUAUUAUGAAUACUCUUGCUUUGAACUUCCUAGAACAUGUCUUUGGUACCAACGUAUUCAUAUUUCUGUAUGUUAAGAGACUCAGAAAAAGUGCUGGAUUAUAUGUUAUGCAUAUGCUCAACUUCAGUAAAUACUGCUAGUUUUCCAACAUGAUUUUUACAGUUCACACUCCCACCAGCAGUGCAUAAGAAGUGCAUUUGUUCCUGCUCAUCAUCACUGGCCAUCAGAGAAAUGCAAAUCAAAACCACAAUGAGAUACCAUCUCACACCAGUUAGAAUGGCAAUCAUUAAAAAGUCAGGAAAAAACAGGUGCUGGAGAGGAUGUGGAGAAAUAGGAACACUUUUACACUGUUGGUAGGACUGUAAACUAGUUCAACCAUUGUGGAAGACAGUGUGGCAAUUCCUCAAGGAUCUAGAACUAAAAAUACCAUUUGACCCAGCCAUCCCAUCACUGGGUAUAUACCCAAAGGAUUAUAAAUCAUGCUGCUAUAAAGACACAUGCACACUUAUGUUUAUUGCCGCACUAUUCACAAUAGCAAAGACUUGGAACCAACCCAAAUGUCCAUCAAUGAUAGACUGGAUUAAGAAAAUGUGACACAUAUACACCAUGUGCAGCCAUAAAAAAGGAUAAGUUCAUGUCCUAUGUAGGGACAUGGAUGAAUCUGGAAACCAUCAUUCUCAGCAAACUAUUGCAAGGACAAAAAACCAAACACCGCAUGUUCUCACUCAUAGGUG
rnacentral:lncRNA from 10 species